rnacentral:rRNA from 1 species
GACGAACGCUGGCGGCGUGCUUAACACAUGCCAGUCGAACGGAAAGGCCCUGCUUUUGUGGGGUGCUCGAGUGGCGAGCGGGUGAGUAACACGUGAGUAACCUGCCCUUGACUUUGGGAUAACUUCAGGAAACUGGGGCUAAUACCGGAUAGGAGCUCCUGCUGCAUGGUGGGGUUGGAAAGUUUCGGCGGUUGGGGAUGGACUCGCGGCUUAUCAGCUUGUUGGUGGGGUAGUGGCUUACCAAGGCUUUGACGGGUAGCCGGCCUGAGAGGGUGACCGGCCACAUUGGGACUGAGAUACGGCCCAGACUCCUACGGGAGGCAGCAGUGGGGAAUAUUGCACAAUGGGCGGAAGCCUGAUGCAGCAACGCCGCGUGCGGGAUGACGGCCUUCGGGUUGUAAACCGCUUUCGCCUGUGACGAAGCGUGAGUGACGGUAAUGGGUAAAGAAGCACCGGCUAACUACGUG